AUGAUCUGCUGUAGUUUUCCUGAGCUUGUUAAAAAUAGCCCUGGGCCAGAUACAUGCCAUUGUUCAAAAUUAAGUAGAUCACUCAGCACCUGCUUUUUCUGCACCCUGUCUUCUGUUACCCCAGGUGCUGUCUCAGACACUGAUGGGUUCUUGGCUUUCACUUCUAGGUAUAAUCAUGAUAUCUGCCUACGGAGAAGGAUAAGACUUGGCUGUUCUAGAAAACUACAGCCUGUGCUGUGGAGAAUGGUGAGUACUUGUUCACAAUUGAUGGAAAAUGAGAGGCUGAAUGAGAAAAAGCAAAGGAACUGUUUUCCUAAGAGUCUUAAGACCCUGAAGGACUUGUUCUUCCUCUGGUGAUCUAGGAGAUAAAGAUGAGAAAUAGAAAUGGAGAAUAGCUGGAACAAAAAGGCAAAGAAGUAUAAACUAUCAUAAAGAUGCAGCCUUUGCAAGCAUGCAAAACCCACAAACCAUAGAAAGUGAACCUAUACUAGAAAUAUAAUUAUUUAAAAAAUAAUAGAUUUUUAAAUUUCCCGUAAACAGAGAAUAUAGUUUUUUCCUAAAUACCCAUAUUAUAUUUAGUAAAUACCCAUAAUAUUAGUUAAAAAAAAAAAUGAAAACAAAAUUUAUAUCUUAUAUUAAUGGAAUUAAUGGAUAAAAUUAAAAGUUGAAAUUCAGAAUAGCCAAAAUUAAUCUUUGAAAAAAAUAUUUUAAUAUUUGUGUUAAAGGGGAAAUCAAAACUAAAAUUACAUAUUACUUAAAAAUGAAUCUUACUAUGUAUCAAAUCAUAUGAUAUCAAAAUCAUACUCUAAAGAAAUUUUGUAGCUGUAAAUGUAUUUUUUAACUUAGAUAAAUGAAAUUUGCAUUCACCUCAAGAAGCUAGCGAAACAACAAAAUAUUAAGAACUGAAAUUAACAUAACUUCUGGCCAGUUUGUUAAAUAAAACUGAAACCAGAAUAUUUCUUUGAACUUCC
rnacentral:lncRNA from 13 species